CGGUACGUACUGGUAUUGUUGGUUUCUCCCUUCUGACGAACCAUGAUGUCAUUUAUUUGGUGUUGUGGGGAAUCAGGACUGUCACUUUGAAAAAAUUAGAGUCGUUUAAAGCAGGCUCACGCUUGAAUACAUUAGCAUGGAAUAAUGAAAUAGGACGUUUGAUUCUAUUUUGUUGGUUUCUGGGAUCGACGUAAUGAUUAAUAGAGAUAGUUGGGGGCAUUAGUAUUCAAUUGUCAGAGGUGAAAUUCUUGGAUUUAUUGAAGACUAACUACUGCGAAAGCAUUUGCCAAGGAUGUUUUCAUUAAUCAAGAACGAAAGUUAGGGGAUCGAAGACGAUCAGAUACCGUCGUAGUCUUAACCAUAAACUAUGCCGACUAGGGAUCGGAUGAUGUUAAUUUUUUAAUGACUCAUUCGGCGCCUUACG
rnacentral:rRNA from 1 species